rnacentral:rRNA from 1 species
UACAGAGGGUGCAAGCGUUGUUCGGAAUUAUUGGGCGUAAAGCGCGUGUAGGCGGCUUUGCAAGUCGGGUGUGAAAGCCCUCAGCUCAACUGAGGAAGUGCGCCCGAAACUGCAGAUCUUGAGUACCGGAGAGGGUGGCGGAAUUCCCCAAGUAGAGGUGAAAUUCGUAGAUAUGGGGAGGAACACCGGUGGCGAAGGCGGCCACCUGGACGGAUACUGACGCUGAGACGCGAAAGCGUGGGUAGCAAACAGG